rnacentral:rRNA from 1 species
AGCUCCAAUAGCGUAUCGCGGAUCUGUUGUGGUUAAAAAGCUCGUAGUUGGAUCUCGGUUUCGGAAGUGUGGUGCGUCUUGCGACGUUUACUGCACAUUCGGACGAUUUUGCUAGUUCGUUUAUGGUGCUCUUAACCGGGUGCCUUAAGUGGCUAGUACGUUUACUUUGAAAAAAUUGGAGUGCUCAAAGCAGGCGCUACAGCCUGAACAAUUGUGCAUGGAAUAAUGGAAUAGGAUCUCGAUUCUAUUUCGUUGGCUUUCAGAGUCGAGGUAAUGAUUAAUAGGGACAGACGGGGGCAUUCGUACUGCGACGUUAGAGGUGAAAUUCUUGGAUCGUCGCAAGACGAACUACUGCGAAAGCAUUUGCCAAGAAUGUUUUCA